rnacentral:rRNA from 1 species
UACGAAGGGGGCUAGCGUUGUUCGGAAUUACUGGGCGUAAAGCGCACGUAGGCGGCUACUCAAGUCAGAGGUGAAAGCCCAGGGCUCAACCUUGGAACUGCCUUUGAAACUAGGUAGCUAGAAUUCUGGAGAGGUCAGUGGAAUUCCGAGUGUAGCGGUGGAAUGCGUAGAGAUCCGGAAGAACACCAGUGGCGAAGGCGGUCUGCUGGGCAGUUGCUGACACUGAGGCGCGACAGCGUGGGGAGCAAACAGG